UGGGGUAGAGAGGGAGAGAGGCUUUGUGAGAGGGAGACGAGAUCGGGGAGACUGGGAUGAGGGGUUUGGGAUCUGAGAAGGAGUUGGAAGGAUUUUAGGAGGCAGAGAGGAAGAAGGAAUGAGGAUUUGGGAGCAAUUUGAAAUCCUUGAGUUCUCCUACUGCUUCAAUUGGGCCUUUUAAGGAAAGAUUGGAUUUGGAUGUUUUAUUUUGGGGUCAAAGAUGGAGGAGGAUUGGAUUUUUGUUGCUUCCCGAGCAUAAUCCACGCGGCUUUCCACUUUUUCCCUUCUUUUGUGUGAUUGUUUUUUUUUCCCAGAUAAAUAUUGGUUGUUGAAUGCCUUAAGGAGGAAGUAUUGAAGGAGAGAUUCAUUCCAUCCUAAUCCGAAAGAUAAAGUUGGAAGAACGAAGAAGGAAAGGUUUUUCCCCUCUCGUUCUGUAACUCAUUUGAUUCCUUGCACCAAAUCCGGGAACACUAUAGCACUUGAAUGGCAAAUCUCUAGUUUUUUCCAUUCAGUUUGAUGGUUUCCUGUCGCCACCCGCCCAUAGAAAACCCUAGUAUUCUGUGGAGAUGUCGUUCAAGAGCAUGGUACGAGAGCUGAAGGAGAUAAGGGACGGGAUUGGGAGCAUGUCGAGGAGAAGCGGAAGAGCGGCCUCCAGCAACGGCCGGGGAUGGGCGUCGCGGCCACAGGUGCUCGGCCUCCAGAGCCUCCACCACCCCUCCCACUGGUGGCCGGAGCGGCAGCAGGGGAAGUGGGCGGACCUGCCGACGGAGCUGCUGCAGGACGUGAUAAAGAGGGUGGAGACAAGCGAGGCGUCGUGGCCGGCGAGGCGGCACGUGGUGGCGUGCGCCGCCGUUUGCCGGUCGUGGCGGGAGGUCACCAAGGAGAUCGUCCAGACACCCGAGCAGUGCGGCCAGAUCACCUUUCCCAUUUCUCUCAAACAGCCUGGGCCGCGGGAUGCACCAAUCCAGUGCUUCAUCAAGAGGGAGAGGGCAACAGGAACCUAUCACUUGUAUUUGGGACUUACCCCUUCACUGCAUGGGGAGAACGGGAAACUUCUGCUUUCAGCGCGCAAGAUCAGACAUGCAACAAGCACUGAGUAUGUGAUUUCACUGGUCCUAGAUGACUAUUCUAGAGCUAGCAGUACCUAUAUUGGGAAAUUGAGGUCAAAUUUUUUGGGUACAAAGUUCACGAUUUAUGACAGCCAGCCUCCCUGCGAUGCUACAGUUAGAUUAAACAGUUCUUCGAGUCGAAGGAUUCACUCAAAACAGGUCUCUCCAAGAGUACCUGCUGGCAAUUAUAAUGUUGCCACCAUCACUUAUGAGCUCAAUGUCUUUCGAACCAGGGGCCCAAGGAGAAUGCAUGUCAUGAUGCAUUCAAUUCCAGCAUCGGCAAUUCAAGAAGGGGGAACGGCACCAACUCCCACUGGCUUCCUUCACCCGGCUGAUGAACAACCCUCGACUUCAUCACUUGCAAAGCUGAAGGACCCAAUAGUAGAGUUCUCUUCUACCAGCCUUGCUGAGCCGCCAAUGCCUGCUACGGCAACAUGUGAGCCACUGAUUCUAAAGAAUAAAGCACCUAGGUGGCAUGAGCAGCUCCAAUGCUGGUGCCUGAAUUUCAGAGGCCGAGUCACAGUAGCUUCUGUUAAGAAUUUCCAGCUUGUUGCGGCUGUGGAUCCCUCCAACCAGGUUUCUCUCGCAGAGCAAGAGCGAGUUAUACUUCAGUUUGGGAAAAUAGGAAAGGACAUCUUCACAAUGGAUUACCGGUAUCCACUCUCUGCAUUUCAGGCAUUUGCUAUCUGUUUGAGCAGCUUCGACACAAAGCCCGCAUGUGAAUGAAUAAUGGAAACAUGCUGAAGCCUAUUUGAUAUACCUAGAUUGUUUUGCUACUCAAAAUCUGAUGUUGUAAAUGUAUUGUCCAUAGACAGCUCUUGGCUCAUCGGCCUUUAUCGCUAUGCAGCUAGUUGUACAUGUGCUGCUUGUAUCUGGGAGCAAUGUUGGACAUGGGAGUUAAAGCGACAUCCAUGCCGCCGUGGCUUCUGAGGGUCCUCCUCUGGAUCACUCUCACUAGAUUCCAUGAAGAGAGCUCGAAGGCAUCGUCUUCUAAUUUUGGGCUCAUGGGAGGGUUUCUGGUCUUGUGCUAUGCUGGGGGCAGUCUUCUGUGGUCUAAGGGGCUCUGUUUGUCCCCUCAAAUUUGCAGCCUCCAUUUUCUUGCUUGAUAGGUUCAGGUGAAUGCCAGGGUCUCUUACAUCACAGGUACUGUCAUGCACGGUUGAGUUGUUGAUGCUUUGCACAUUGCUAUUUAUGCUUGCUGUAAUUGCUGAGUUUUCAUUGCCUCGA